UACGAAGGGUGCAAGCGUUGUCCGGAUUUAUUGGGUUUAAAGGGUGCGUAGGCGGUUAAUUAAGUCAGUGGUGAAAUCCUGGAGCUCAACUUCAGAACUGCCAUUGAUACUGGUUGACUUGAGUACAGACGAGGUUGGCGGAAUUGAUGGUGUAGCGGUGAAAUGCAUAGAUACCAUCAAGAACACCGAUUGCGAAGGCAGCUAACUAGGCUGUAACUGACGCUGAGGCACGAAAGUGUGGGGAUCAAACAGG
rnacentral:rRNA from 1 species